rnacentral:rRNA from 1 species
AUGCACGCUGGCGGCGUGCCUCAUCCCUGCAAGUCGCGCGAACAGACGAGGAGCUUGCUCCUCUGACGUUAGCGGCGGACGGGUGAGUAACACGUGGAUAACCUACCUAUAAGACUGGGAUAACUUCGGGAAACCGGAGCUAAUACCGGAUAAUAUAUUGAACCGCAUGGUUCAAUAGUGAAAGACGGUUUUGCUGUCACUUAUAGCUGGAUCCGCGCCGCAUUAGCUAGUUGGUAAGGUAACGGCUUACCAAGGCAACGAUGCGUAGCCGACCUGAGAGGGUGAUCGGCCACACUGGAACUGAGACACGGUCCAGACUCCUACGGGAGGCAGCAGUAGGGAAUCUUCCGCAAUGGGCGAAAGCCUGACGGAGCAACGCCGCGUGAGUGAUGAAGGUCUUCGGAUCGUAAAACUCUGUUAUUAGGGAAGAACAAAUGUGUAAGUAACUAUGCACGUCUUGACGGUACCUAAUCAGAAAGCCACGGCUAACUACGUG